rnacentral:rRNA from 1 species
GACGAACGCUGGCGGCGUGCUUAACACAUGCAAGUCGAACGGAAAGGCCCUGCUUUUGUGGGGUGCUCGAGUGGCGAACGGGUGAGUAACACGUGAGUAACCUGCCCUUGACUUUGGGAUAACUUCAGGAAACUGGGGCUAAUACCGGAUAGGAGCUCCUGCUGCAUGGUGGGGGUUGGAAAGUUUCGGCGGUUGGGGAUGGACUCGCGGCUUAUCAGCUUGUUGGUGGGGUAGUGGCUUACCAAGGCUUUGACGGGUAGCCGGCCUGAGAGGGUGACCGGCCACAUUGGGACUGAGAUACGGCCCAGACUCCUACGGGAGGCAGCAGUGGGGAAUAUUGCACAAUGGGCGGAAGCCUGAUGCAGCAACGCCGCGUGCGGGAUGACGGCCUUCGGGUUGUAAACCGCUUUCGCCUGUGACGAAGCGUGAGUGACGGUAAUGGGUAAAGAAGCACCGGCUAACUACGUGCCAGCAGCCGCGGUGAUACGUAGGGUGCGAGCGUUGUCCGGAUUUAUUGGGCGUAAAGGGCUCGUAGGUGGUUGAUCGCGUCGGAAGUGUAAUCUUGGGGCUUAACCCUGAGCGUGCUUUCGAUACGGGUUGACUUGAGGAAGGUAGGGGAGAAUGGAAUUCCUGGUGGAGCGGUGGAAUGCGCAGAUAUCAGGAGGAACACCAGUGGCGAAGGCGGUUCUCUGGGCCUUUCCUGACGCUGAGGAGCGAAAGCGUGGGGAGCGAACAGGCUUAGAUACCCUGGUAGUCCACGCUGUAAACGGUGGGUACUAGGUGUGGGGUCCAUUCCACGGGUUCCGUGCCGUAGCUAACGCUUUAAGUACCCCGCCUGGGGAGUACGGCCGCAAGGCUAAAACUCAAAGGAAUUGACGGGGCCCCGCACAAGCGGCGGAGCAUGCGGAUUAAUUCGAUGCAACGCGUAGAACCUUACCUGGGUUUGACAUGGAUCGGGAGUGCUCAGAGAUGGGUGUGCCUCUUUUGGGGUCGGUUCACAGGUGGUGCAUGGCUGUCGUCAGCUCGUGUCGUGAGAUGUUGGGUUAAGUCCCGCAACGAGCGCAACCCUUGUUCACUGUUGCCAGCACGUUAUGGUGGGGACUCAGUGGAGACCGCCGGGGUCAACUCGGAGGAAGGUGGGGAUGACGUCAAGUCAUCAUGCCCCUUAUGUCCAGGGCUUCACGCAUGCUACAAUGGCUGGUACAGAGAGUGGCGAGCCUGUGAGGGUGAGCGAAUCUCGGAAAGCCGGUCUCAGUUCGGAUUGGGGUCUGCAGCUCGACCUCAUGAAGUCGGAGUCGCUAGUAAUCGCAGAUCAGCAACGCUGCGGUGAAUAAAUUCCCGGG